UACAGAGGGUGCAAGCGUUAAUCGGAUUUACUGGGCGUAAAGGGCGCGUAGGCGGUUGUUUAAGUGAGAUGUGAAAUCCCCGGGCUUAACCUGGGAACUGCAUCUUAUACUGGGCGACUGGAGUGCAAUAGAGGGUAGUGGAAUUUCCGGUGUAGCGGUGAAAUGCGUAGAUAUCGGAAGGAACACCAGUGGCGAAGGCGGCUACCUGGAUUGACACUGACACUGAGGCGCGAGAGCGUGGGGAGCAAACAGG
rnacentral:rRNA from 1 species